rnacentral:tRNA from 1 species
CCUCACAUAGUUCAAUCGGUUAGAGCACAAGGCUUAUAUCCUUGGAGUUGGGGGUUCAAGUCCCUCUGUGAGGA